rnacentral:misc_RNA from 1 species
AAGUCGUAACAAGGUAUCCGUAGGUGAACCUGCGGAUGGAUCAUUACCAAAGGAUUUAAUCCCAAGGUUUUGUGAACUGUAUUGAACACAAACGGUCAGAGGUUCUUCGGGACUUCUGGCUGUACACUAAACCUCAUACCCUUAACUUACAUCAAAUCAUAAACUUUACAACUUUUAGCAAUGGAUCUCUUGGCUCUC